ACACGUUUGCAAGUGUAUAGUGAGAUCGUCUUGCAUGGCACACAACAUAGUAUACCGAGCAGUUUCGAUCCUACUUGAACAAUUUGUUAUAAACCUCUUUUCAUACUCAGAAGUUGUGCCUUCGGCAGGCAUAACUCUUUUGACAGAAAGAGUUACGAAAAUCCCUUAUUCAUUAAGCAGUAUUGCAUUUUUCUAUGUCAAAUAUCAUAUUUCUUUCCAUUUAGCUUAUUAUCCCUUGGUGAGAUAAGCUAUGAUGUUUUUGAAAACUAUUUCACUACAUUCAAAAAACAGGUUUGGACAUUAGGCACAUUUUCAAAAAAUUAACAAGAUUGAAACACUAUUCCCAACACAACGGGAUCGAAAACUUCGCUAUGCUCGUAAUCAUCACCCAGUAUCGAUUCAAAAUAUUACAAUCUUAUUAAUUUUUCUACUAAUUUUGAAACUUAUUCAAAAGUUGGAACUCAUCCAUUUUGAAAGAACACAUCCUUUUCUUUCAAAAAAAAAUAUUUUUAUAUAUAUUGAGAACUUAUCUCAUAAUAUCAUCACACAGAUAAAAAAAUAAGUACUUAUGCCAAAAUUUAAUUUGAAAAACGUCGACGCUGCGCAAAACACAUUCCUUUACACGACCUUAAUUAUUACAUCACCUUUUACGUAAUAAAAUCUACUACAUCACUACAAGAUAUACAUCAAAAAAUGAAUGCACUACAUGAAUGCUGCAUACGUCGAACCCGUUUUUUCAAAAUUAAAUUUUGUUGAAAAACACCAAAAUAACAUAAGUACUUAUAU
rnacentral:lncRNA from 1 species